CCUGACCUCGAUUCGAGCGUGAAUACCCGCUGAA
rnacentral:rRNA from 1 species